rnacentral:rRNA from 1 species
GAUGAACGCUGGCGGCGUGCCUAAUACAUGCAAGUCGAGCGAACAGACGAGGAGCUUGCUCCUCGGACGGUAGCGGCGGACGGGUGAGUAACACGUGGAUAACCAACCUAUAAGACUGGGAUAACUUCGGGAAACCGGAGAUCAGACCGGAUAAUAUAUCGAACCGCAUGGUUCAAUAGUGAAAGACGGUUUUGCUGUCACUUAUAGAUGGAUCCGCGCCGCAUUAGCUAGUUGGUAAGGUAACGGCUUACCAAGGCAACGAUGCGUAGCCGACCUGAGAGGGUGAUCCGCCACACUGGAACUGAGACACGGUCCAGACUCCGACGGGAGGCAGCAGUAGAGACUCUUCCGCGAUGGGCGAAAGCCUGACGGAGCAACGCCGCCUGAGUGAUGAAGGUCUUCGGAUCGUAAAACUCUGUUAUUAGGAAAGAUCAAAUGUGUAAGUAACUAUGCACGUCUUGACGGUACCUAAUCAGAAAGCCACGGCUAACUACGUG